GACGAGGGGUCCAAGCGUUGUUCGGAAUCAUUGGGCGUAAAGCGGGUGUAGGUGGCUCUGUAAGUCAGGAGUGAAAGCCCCAGGCUUAACCUGGGAAGUGCUUUUGAUACUGCAGAGCUUGAAUGUGGGAGAGGAUGGUGGAAUUCCUGGUGUAGUGGUGAAAUACGUAGAUAUCAGGAGGAACUCCGGUGGCGAAGGCGGCAUCUGGCCCAACAUUGACACUGAGACCCGAAAGCGUGGGGAUCAAACAGG
rnacentral:rRNA from 1 species